GAUGAACGCUGGCGGCGUGCCUAAUACAUGCGAGUCGAGCGAACGGGCGAGAAGCUUGCUUUUCUGAUGUUAGCGGCGGACGGGUGAGUAACACGUGGAUAACCUACCUAUAAGACUGGGAUAACUUCGGGAAACCGGAGCUAAUACCGGAUAAUAUUUUGAACCGCAUGGUUCAAAAGUGAAAGACGGUCUUGCUGUCACUUAUAGAUGGAUCCGCGCUGCAUUAGCUAGUUGGUAAGGUAACGGCUUACCAAGGCAACGAUGCAUAGCCGACCUGAGAGGGUGAUCGGCCACACUGGAACUGAGACACGGUCCAGACUCCUACGGGAGGCAGCAGUAGGGAAUCUUCCGCAAUGGGCGAAAGCCUGACGGAGCAACGCCGCGUGAGUGAUGAAGGUCUUCGGAUCGUAAAACUCUGUUAUUAGGGAAGAACAUAUGUGUAAGUAACUGUGCACAUCUUGACGGUACCUAAUCAGAAAGCCACGGCUAACUACGUG
rnacentral:rRNA from 1 species